rnacentral:lncRNA from 1 species
GUUUAAAAACAGAAAGAAAAAUACAAAAGCAACAGAAAGCAACCAUUCCUCUUCAGACACACUGGCUGCAAAGCACCCCAGAGACCCUUCCCAGCAAACAGGCUUUCCAGGCCAAACAGCUCGUGCUUCCCCUGCACGCUCCCUUUCAAUGUUUGUCAUUUCAGAAGUGAAAAAGAAAAAAUGUGGAAAAUGCCUCCUUUUUUUUUUUUCCUGUUGAACUUAACCAGCAGGUACUUCGAUCCUUCCUUUAGAGAAAACGUAAUGUGGUCUGCUCGCUUGAAUGAAAAAAAUACAACCAACCCCAAGGGAGAAGAGCUGCAGAUACAAAUGCACGCAGUCCUACAGCGGAUGAAAGCAAAGGCACUGCUGUAACCAUGGCACGCGAAGGACACACGAAGGGUUCUGGUUCAGUGUCACAUCCCUGUGACCCACACAGCCACAGCUUCACAGUGACGUGACAAAAAAACCAAAGUAAUCCUCUGCCAGCUUUUUCUCUCCUUUCCAGCCAGGAGAAGAGGCAUCCCAGACCCAGACUGUAGAGCUGCUCCCUUCCUAUUCCUUAGGGAUUUCGAACAUGCAAAGGCUCUUGUACUUCUGCAGCAGUUCGUUCUUGGUCCGGACCUGCUCCCGCAGGUUCUGCAGCUGCUGCUGCUGCUGCUCUGGGCUCACGCCGAUGCCAGGCAUGGCGCUGAUCAGCUUCCUCAUCUCCUGGAACUUGUUCUUGAGCUCGUUCAGCACCUGGUGAACAUCCUGGCUAUCCUUGUCCAUGCAUUUGAUGAUGUCGUGGACGAGCGGCAGGAAGGAGAACUCCUCCUGCGCGGGCGCCGGCGGUGCGGGCGGCGGCUUCUGCUCGGCGGGCGGUUCGGGCGGCGGCGGCUCCUCGGCGGCACGGGCCGCGGACACCCCCGACGCCAUGGUGGCCCCGGCCCGCGGCCGCGGCGCUGAGCAGUGACGGAGCGGGGCGGAGCUCGGCCGCUCUGCACCGCCCCGGCAGCGGCUUGGGCUGGGCCUCCGCUGCGGCCUGCGCCUGGGCCCGAGUUUGAGCCCGAGUUUGGGCCUGGGCCCGCGCUGGGACGUGGGGUCUGCUCCAGGACGUGGGCUGGGGCUGGGACUGAGGCAUCAGGCCUGGGCCAAAGCGGGGGUCGAAGGCCUGCUCGGGGCCUGAGCUGGGCCUGGGCCCUGAGGGCAGGUGUGGGGACCGAGCCCGGGGUCAGGCUUCGGGCCUGGGGCUCGGAGAUGGGACUGCGCUGCUGCUGAGGCCUUCCCCAGCUGGGCCAGGCCUGUGCUGCGGCCCGGGUCGGUGCUCCCAAGGCAGUGCCCCUGCACACCCCCACUGAGCUGCAGUGUGCCUGGGGACGGCUCCCUGCCCUGCAGUGUGACCCAUGGCAUCCCUGACCUGUGUGCAUCCCAACUUUUUCUGGCAAUCCUCACACGAGGAAUCGGAUAGGAGGGCCAUGAUGAUGCUCGGAGGGCUGCAGCACCUCUCCUAUGAAGGCAGGCUGAGGGAGUUCAGCCUGGAAGAAGAGGAGGCUUCCUGGCCUUGGAACUGGAGAAAUCUGAAGGAACAGAGACAGAAAUUCAGUGCCAGAGCUACAAGGAGGGGUUGAGAUGGGGUUCUUGGGUACCUGGCCUAUGGGUGAGAGAGGUGAUGGAGAACACCGUGCUUGGAAGCUGGGAGAUGGGCAGUGCUGCCCCUGUGCACCAUCAGGCCUCCGAGUGCGCUUCAGCAAACUGCUGAAUGCCAUGUUUAAACUGCUCUGUCAAUACACACUAUUGUAGCACUAAUAAUGUCAGCCACGAUCAUGAGUUAUCCUUCCAGGAUUGGCUUAGAGAGCAUAGAUAAUUUCAUUUUUUAUUUGAGAUAAGCUCCCAGGUUCAUCAGUUAGUUAUAGCCCAGGGAUGAUGGGAAAGGUAAUUUUCUUUUUUAAAACAAUUUAUUUUGAAAAGCAAACUAUUUAUGUAUCAAAUGAGAGUGCUGGUAACCGUUUGUGCGUAUGUAUUAUUGACUGCUCACUCUAAAUAUAGCAGAUGCAAUUGUUCACAUUGUUCUACUGUCAAGAAUAGAUCCCGGCUUGGUCACCAGUUCUGGAAUGUGCAGGGGAGCCCAGGGGAGCCCAGGACCUGCUGAGCAGGUCCCUGCAGGAAGGCUGGUGGGAUUUAUGGCCCUUGACUGAGCCAAGCAGGAGGUACAGGAUGCUAAUGCCUUUGUGUGGGGCUGAGCAAAGACGUUCAUUUCUGCACGUUGUUUUAUGGGCUGUUUCUAAAGCAAGGCUUGAUUCAGGCUCCUUGGUGGUCAUUUUGUUCUGUGCUAUGCUGGUUUUAACUCUCCCCUUGACUUUAUCAAGGAGUGUGGCUAAUUGCUAGGCUGCUGGAUGCCUGCCUCUGAUCGGUGAGUCAGGCAGUCAUUAGAGUAGGUGACAACAUGCAGAUACCAUUCAGCCAGAACUACAGCACUGUCAAUCAGAAUUUCUUUGUACCGUUCAGUUCCCAUUUUGGUUCAUGUGUUCCCACAGCAAUUGGAAUGUACAGCUUUGUCUCAGUGGCAUUCAGCCCUGUCUCUGCCUCACACCUUCCCUUUCUCAUGCGAACAGCUCCUUCAGGUGACCCAUCUCCAUUCUUUCCGGGCUGGUCAGGUCUCAUGGCAAGUUCAGUGGAGAGUGAGCAUGUUUUGCUGUGAGGAAGUGGUGCCACUGGCUCCUCCGUCACUGAAAACACUGGUGAACUGAUGGGAUGAGACUGCAUGGUUACUGUCUGAGUGUCUGCCUGUUGCCUCUACCAUGACUGGUGUGUCCGUAGCCUUGGUGAAGACUUCAAGGAGGAUAAAGACCCAGCUGACAAGUCUGGGAGGGAAGAAGAGGUCUUCUUUUGGGCAAGCAGAUGGCUGCUAGCCUGAGCCAAGGAGCACUGCUCUAAUCUUCAGCUGCCCUUGCAGAGCCCCAAGCUGUGAGGCCUUUAUCUCUGUGAGAUGGUGACCUGGCUUACAUCCUUGUGAUGCAGUUCCUAAUGGGUAGACAGCAUACUCAACAUGAUCUUUGCACUCCACUGGUCUCCAUCUCCGAUGGAAGGGCUGUGUCUGGCUCUCUUGCUGUUCUCUCAUGGAGCUGGCAUUGGUCUGCAGAUCUUCUUAAUGUUCAGUCAGUUUUCACCCAUUUUCAGACCCUCCAUUUCACCCAUUUUCAGACCUUUAAAAACUCACAGUGAUACAGCUAAAGUAUCACUGUGAUACUUUAAAGGUGCUUAGCAUUGAACGAACAGAACCAUUUUUCUCCUAGAUUUCAUAAUAAGCCCAAAGUGCA